AAUUGUUAGUGAUGACAUAAAAGUUAAAACAGAUGGGAAUCUCUCUGAAGGAGAUUGAAGAGUAAUUCUUAAACUGAAACAGCA
ensembl:snoRNA SNORD79 Small nucleolar RNA SNORD79